rnacentral:tRNA from 1 species
GGCCCCGUCGUCUAGUGGCCUAGGACGUCAGGUUCUCAUCCUGAAAAUCACGAGUUCGAAUCUCGUCGGGGUCA